rnacentral:snRNA from 1 species
GUGCUCGUUUCGGCAGCACAUAUACUAAAACUUGGAACGGUACAGAGAAGAUUAGCAUGGCCCCUGCGCAAGGAUGACACACAAAUUUGUGAAGCGUUCCAUAUUUUU